UACGUAGGGACCAAGCGUUGUCCGGAAUCAUUGGGCGUAAAGAGCGUGUAGGCGGCUUGUUAAGUCUUGCGUGAAAUCUCGGGGCUCAACCCCGAGCGGUCGUGAGAAACUGGCAGGCUAGAGUGCGGGAGAGGAGAGUGGAAUUCCUGGUGUAGCGGUGAAAUGCGCAGAUAUCGGGAAGAACACCCGUGGCGAAGGCGGCUCUCUGGGACGGUACUGACGCUGAGACGCGAAAGCGUGGGGAGCGAACAGG
rnacentral:rRNA from 1 species